rnacentral:rRNA from 1 species
UAGGGAAUCUUCCGCAAUGGGCGAAAGCCUGACGGAGCAACGCCGCGUGAGUGAUGAAGGUCUUCGGUUCGUAAAACUCUGUUAUUAGGGAAGAACAAAUGUGUAAGUAACUAUGCACGUCUUGACGGUACCUAAUCAGAAAGCCACGGCUAACUACGUGCCAGCAGCCGCGGUAAUACGUAGGUGGCAAGCGUUAUCCGGAAUUAUUGGGCGUAAAGCGCGCGUAGGCGGUUUUUUAAGUCUGAUGUGAAAGCCCACGGCUCAACCGUGGAGGGUCAUUGGAAACUGGAAAACUUGAGGGCAGAAGAGGAAAGUGGAAUUCCAUGUGUAGCGGUGAAAUGCGCAGAGAUAUGGAGGAACACCAGUGGCGAAGGCGACUUUCUGGUCUGUAACUGACGCUGAUGUGCGAAAGCGUGGGGAUCAAACAGG